rnacentral:rRNA from 1 species
UACAGAGGGUGCAAGCGUUAAUCGGAAUUACUGGGCGUAAAGCGCACGUAGGUGGUUUGGCAAGUUGGAUGUGAAAGCCCUGGGCUUAACCUGGGAACUGCAUUCAAUACUACCAAACUAGAGUAGGGUAGAGGGAAGUGGAAUUUCCGGUGUAGCGGUGAAAUGCGUAGAUAUCGGAAGGAACACCAGUGGCGAAGGCGGCUUCCUGGACUCAUACUGACACUGAGGUGCGAAAGCGUGGGGAGCAAACAGG